ACCCUCCCCAUGUGACUUGUUCACCGCAGUCUGAGUGCUCUAGUUUCUGUCUCUCAGGCUCUCAGAACCAGGGAGUGCAGGAAAGUUCACCCUUGGCCAUAGGCAGAUGUUUGACCUAAGAGGAGAGGGGCAAAUCCUCAAGUUGUGAAGCUCAAAAGCAAAAAGUAAUGAUGCUUGCUGCCAGGGAAUUCUUCCUUAGAGACACGGAGAGAGGGAUGCAGGAGACCAAAGAACAUGACCCCAAGCUGUAUCCAGUAGUUUCUAGUAAAACUUUCUCCCCCAAAUUCUUUUAGAUUGGUAGAUAUUCUCUGUCCGUAGCUCCUACACACUUAUCUUUGCCUUUAGGGUGCUAACAAUAUCCUACCUGCAUAGUUUGUUAGAAAGCUUAAUUCUUUGUUUGCAUUAGGCAAUCUUAUAGAUGGAGAUGAUUCUUUCUCAGUGAACAUCAAAUUAUUUAAUUAUGAUUCAUAAAAGGACUCGAAUUGUUCCUUAUCAUCUGCUCUUUGAGGAACAAGGAGUUGUUUAGAAAACAGUUCUCUCAGAACUCAACUAAGUAGUGAUCCCCAAAAGCCAGAAAGAGUGAAAGACAGCAUUUCAACGAAUAAGUGCACAAUGUUUGAUAUGCUCAGGUGUAUCUCUAGAAUCUCUGUCCAUCUCUUCUUAACCAACUUGAUGAAUAACCAGAUCUGAC
rnacentral:lncRNA from 1 species